rnacentral:rRNA from 1 species
AUUUCUUCGGAUUGAAAUUUUAGUGACUGAGCGGCGGACGGGUGAGUAACGCGUGGGUGACCUGCCCCAUACCGGGGGAUAACAGCUGGAAACGGCUGCUAAUACCGCAUAAGCGCACAGAGCUGCAUGGCUCGGUGUGAAAAACUCCGGUGGUACAAGAUGGACCCGCGUCUGAUUAGCUGGUUGGUGAGGUAACGGCCCACCAAGGCGACGAUCAGUAGCCGACCUGAGAGGGUGAUCGGCCACAUUGGAACUGAGAAACGGUCCAGACUCC